CUGACUCCUGUACAUGGUGGUAGAAAUAAAAACCCCGGAUGCUCCUGGAGAAGGAUUGUCAGAGGAAGAGGAGGACACGGCCCGUCCAGGUUCCUACAAUAUAGGAUUCUCUCAGUGGAUAUCUUCUAUAUGACAUAAAUCUCUUGAUUGACCCGUCAAGGAUGGAUAGGGACAAGAUGGCGCAGAGUAUAAUAAAUCUCACCCUAGAGAUCCUCUUCCGGCUUACUGGAGAGGACUACACAGUAGUGAAGAAGACAUCUGGUGAGCGCUGUCAGGCCCCUGUGUCUGAAGGAUGGGGAAGAACCCUGAGCUCAAUCACGGGGUCUCCACCUCACCUCCUGAUACAUGAGGAAAUCAAUAGAGAGAAGAUCCUAGAACUCACCAACAAGAUGAUUGAGCUGCUGACUGGAGAGGUUCCUAUAAGGUGUCAGGAUGUCACUGUCUAUUUCUCCAUGGAGGAGUGGGAGUA